UGAGUCUAGGUUGGCUAGUGACUGCUGG
rnacentral:piRNA from 1 species